GUUACGAUUUGAUGCAAGGUUAAGCAGUAAAUGUGGAGCCGUAGCGAAAGCGAGUCUGAAUAGGGCGUUUAGUAUUUGGUCGUAGACCCGAAACCAGGUGAUCUACCCUUGGUCAGGUUGAAGUUCAGGUAACACUGAAUGGAGGACCGAACCGACUUACGUUGAAAAGUGAGCGGAUGAACUGAGGGUAGCGGAGAAAUUCCAAUCGAACCUGGAGAUAGCUGGUUCUCUCCGAAAUAGCUUUAGGGCUAGCCUCAAGUGAUGAUUAUUGGAGGUAGAGCACUGUUUGGACGAGGGGCCCCUCUCGGGUUACCGAAUUCAGACAAACUCCGAAUGCCAAUUAAUUUAACUUGGGAGUCAGAACAUGGGUGAUAAGGUCCGUGUUCGAAAGGGAAACAGCCCAGACCACCAGCUAAGGUCCCAAAAUAUAUGUUAAGUGGAAAAGGAUGUGGCGUUGCCCAGACAACUAGGAUGUUGGCUUAGAAGCAGCCAUCAUUUAAAGAGUGCGUAAUAGCUCACUAGUCGAGUGACACUGCGCCGAAAAUGUACCGGGGCUAAACAUAUUACCGAAGCUGUGGAUUGUCCUUUGGACAAUGGUAGGAGAGCGUUCUAAGGGCGUUGAAGCAUGAUCGUAAGGACAUGUGGAGCGCUUAGAAGUGAGAAUGCCGGUGUGAGUAGCGAAAGACGGGUGAGAAUCCCGUCCACCGAUUGACUAAGGUUUCCAGAGGAAGGCUCGUCCGCUCUGGGUUAGUCGGGUCCUAAGCUGAGGCCGACAGGCGUAGGCGAUGGAUAACAGGUUGAUAUUCCUGUACCACCUAUAAUCGUUUUAAUCGAUGGGGGGACGCAGUAGGAUAGGCGAAGCGUGCGAUUGGAUUGCACGUCUAAGCAGUAAGGCUGAGUAUUAGGCAAAUCCGGUACUCAUUAAGGCUGAGCUGUGAUGGGGAGAAGACAUUGUGUCUUCGAGUCGUUGAUUUCACACUGCCGAGAAAAGCCUCUAGAUAGAAAAUAGGUGCCCGUACCGCAAACCGACACAGGUAGUCAAGAUGAGAAUUCUAAGGUGAGCGAGCGAACUCUCGUUAAGGAACUCGGCAAAAUGACCCCGUAACUUCGGGAGAAGGGGUGCUCUUUAGGGUUAACGCCCAGAAGAGCCGCAGUGAAUAGGCCCAAGCGACUGUUUAUCAAAAACACAGGUCUCUGCUAAACCGUAAGGUGAUGUAUAGGGGCUGACGCCUGCCCGGUGCUGGAAGGUUAAGAGGAGUGGUUAGCUUCUGCGAAGCUACGAAUCGAAGCCCCAGUAAACGGCGGCCGUAACUAUAACGGUCCUAAGGUAGCGAAAUUCCUUGUCGGGUAAGUUCCGACCCGCACGAAAGGCGUAACGAUUUGGGCACUGUCUCAACGAGAGACUCGGUGAAAUCAUAGUACCUGUGAAGAUGCAGGUUACCCGCGACAGGACGGAAAGACCCCGUGGAGCUUUACUGUAGCCUGAUAUUGAAAUUCGGCACAGCUUGUACAGGAUAGGUAGGAGCCUUUGAAACGUGAGCGCUAGCUUACGUGGAGGCGCUGGUGGGAUACUACCCUAGCUGUGUUGGCUUUCUAACCCGCACCACUUAUCGUGGUGGGAGACAGUGUCAGGCGGGCAGUUUGACUGGGGCGGUCGCCUCCUAAAAGGUAACGGAGGCGCUCAAAGGUUCCCUCAGAAUGGUUGGAAAUCAUUCAUAGAGUGUAAAGGCAUAAGGGAGCUUGACUGCGAGACCUACAAGUCGAGCAGGGUCGAAAGACGGACUUAGUGAUCCGGUGGUUCCGCAUGGAAGGGCCAUCGCUCAACGGAUAAAAGCUACCCCGGGGAUAACAGGCUUAUCUCCCCCAAGAGUUCACAUCGACGGGGAGGUUUGGCACCUCGAUGUCGGCUCAUCGCAUCCUGGGGCUGUAGUCGGUCCCAAGGGUUGGGCUGUUCGCCCAUUAAAGCGGUACGCGAGCUGGGUUCAGAACGUCGUGAGACAGUUCGGUCCCUAUCCGUCGUGGGCGUAGGAAAUUUGAGAGGAGCUGUCCUUAGUACGAGAGGACCGGGAUGGACAUACCUCUGGUGUACCAGUUGUCGUGCCAACGGCAUAGCUGGGUAGCUAUGUGUGGACGGGAUAAGUGCUGAAAGCAUCUAAGCAUGAAGCCCCCCU
rnacentral:rRNA from 1 species